CCUACGGGUGGCUGCAGUGAGGAAUAUUGGUCAAUGGACGAGAGUCUGAACCAGCCAAGUAGCGUGAAGGAUGACUGCCCUAUGGGUUGUAAACUUCUUUUAUAUGGGAAUAAAACGUUCCACGUGUGGGAUUUUGUAUGUACCAUAUGAAUAAGGCUCGGCUAACUCCGUGCCAGCAGCCGCGGUAAUACGGAGGAUCCGAGCGUUAUCCGGAUUUAUUGGGUUUAAAGGGAGCGUAGGUGGAUUGUUAAGUCAGUUGUGAAAGUUUGCGGCUCAACCGUAAAAUUGCAGUUGAAACUGGCAGUCUUGAGUACAGUAGAGGUGGGCGGAAUUCGUGGUGUAGCGGUGAAAUGCUUAGAUAUCACGAAGAACUCCGAUUGCGAAGGCAGUUCACUGGACUGCAACUGACACUGAGGCUCGAAAGUGUGGGUAUCAAACAGGAUUAGAUACCCUUGUAGUC
rnacentral:rRNA from 1 species